UGGGGAAUCUUGCGCAAUGGGCGGAAGCCUGACGCAGCGACGCCGCGUGCGGGACGAAGGCCUUCGGGUCGUAAACCGCUUUCAGCAGGGACGGAGGCCCUCACGGUGACGGUACCUGCAGAAGAAGCCCCGGCUAACUACGUGCC
rnacentral:rRNA from 1 species